CUCUUGGACAUAAGAAUUAGUAUUUUCUCUACUUUCUUUCACACAGUAUUGGUCUUUUGCAUAAAAUUUUAUGUAAUUAUUUGCUUAGUUAAUUGAAACUCAAGUACUUUUUAAUAAUUUUUAGUGUGGUUGAAACAUUUUAUUUUGAAUAUUUUACCAAAAAUAUAUUAACUAGCCUCCAGUGAUGGAGAAGAUGUUGGCAUAAUAU
rnacentral:lncRNA from 1 species